GACGAACGCUGGCGGCGUGCUUAACACAUGCAAGUCGAACGGAAAGGCCCUGCUUUUGUGGGGUGCUCGAGUGGCGAACGGGUGAGUAACACGUGAGUAACCUGCCCUUGACUUUGGGAUAACUUCAGGGAACUGGGGCUAAUACCGGAUAGGAGCUCCUGCUGCAUGGUGGGGGUUGGAAAGUUUCGGCGGUUGGGGAUGGACUCGCGGCUUAUCAGCUUGUUGGUGGGGUAGUGGCUUACCAAGGCUUUGACGGGUAGCCGGCCUGAGAGGGUGACCGGCCACAUUGGGACUGAGAUACGGCCCAGACUCCUACGGGAGGCAGCAGUGGGGAAUAUUGCACAAUGGGCGGAAGCCUGAUGCAGCAACGCCGCGUGCGUGAUGACGGCCUUCGGGUUGUAAACCGCUUUCGCCUGUGACGAAGCGUGAGUGACGGUAAUGGGUAAAGAAGCACCGGCUAACUACGUG
rnacentral:rRNA from 1 species